UAUAUAUACACAUUGGUUGCAUGUGCCAAAGUCAGAUGCUCUCUCAAUCGAAAUCUAAAAAAUCCAAUCAAAAAAUUCUCUCCGAUUCUCGAAAUUCUCUGUUUCCCCGAAUUCAAACCGUAGUUCUUCGUUCGAACAUUCGAAGAUCUAUUGCAAUUUAAUAGUUGUUGUUGAUCAUUGAUUGCGUGAAAGGGCUUCGAGAAUGUUCAACGGAAUGAUGGAUCCUGAAUUGAUGAGACUCACCCAAGAGCAGAUGAGUCGCAUGUCGCUCGCUGAGAUGGCCAGGAUUCAACAACAGGUCACCCUCUUUUGACCUCCUUUCUCUGUAUUCGAUUCAAUUAUGGUUGUAGAUUCAAGAGUUUGGGAAAACCGAUGUGCAAUUGAAUCUAAUUUUGAUAAAUUAAAUGUCUGAUGUUUUUGGGUUUGUUAAUAUUUGUUAUAAUUUGGAUAUAUAUAGUUUUUUUUUUUGGUUUAUUUGGUUGUUGUUCAAGUUAGAUGUGAAAUUGGUUCAAAUUGAAUGAGUAAAAUCAUGAAUACUAUCUUUCUUUUCCCUUUUUAGCGUUUCAUAUUGUAAACGAGUUGAGUCGAUUCAAGUCGAGCGAGUAGUAGGUUGUCAAAGCUUGGUUUGAAAACUCAACGGGCAUGAAAAUAUGUUCAAGCUUAAUUUGUUUACCAUUAUAAUCGAUUUGGUUCAAAUAGCUUAUUUUUUUCAUAGUGCAUAUAAUGGAGUAGAUUGAUCAAGUUGUCACCAUAUUAUUUUUUUUUCAUAGGAAGACUCAUUUUAUGCAAUUCUUGCCUCUUUGGUACUGCAUACUUACGAUAAUACAAUGCCCAAUUUUGCUUACCCCUUUCGUCAUGGCUUACCAUUAUCAUGAAUACCCCACAUUGACUUGAUUUAUCUUGUUUAUCCCUAAAUUACGGAUAUAAAGCUGUCAGAACACUUGAAAAAUUAAAGAUGUAAACAAAAGCUCUACUAGUUGAUACGGUGGUCACUUUAUACCAUGAUUGUCAUUAUAUGUCUUGCAUUAUUGCCAACAUUGCAAAUUUGACUAAUUGAUUAGGUUUAAACUGCUGAAAGAGUUGCUUAUUAGAAAAUUACUUCUGCCUGCAAAUACAUACAUGACGAAAACCAGGAAAAAAAAACUCAGUGUCAGCUAUGGUUAGGUAGUUUAUUUAUUGAUAUUUAACCAAUGCAUAUGGUAAUCUAGCCUGAAAAAGGCAUUUCAAAAUUCGCUUUAAAGCCUCAAAAUGCAUCUCAAUUAACUAGACAAGGUUUGUUGAGGAAAUACCAGUCAGUGAUUGCAAACAUUAGGUGCAAAUAUUGAGAAGCUUGAAGUUAUUCAUGUAGGUUUUCCUUGUUCUUGCCACUAUACCUGCACCAAAUUCCUUCAAGAAUAUUAUAGAGAGUUAAUAGCGUUAGUAUAACACACAUUUUCAGGCUCACAGCACUCAACCCACUAUAUCUGAACUCACAUCCCUCACUCUUGGUAAGCAUCCUUCUGUACCUGCAGCUGUAACAGAUAUAGAUAUAAAGAUUAGUACACCUCCCUGUAGAGCCUCUCAUCACACAACCCUCAAUUGGUAACUCACCAACACUCAACACUCCGAAAGCUACACUCCACUCAAUUUUAGAAUGGUGGCUGGGAGCCUCCAUUCUUGCUGAAACCAAUCAUCAGUGGGUGAAUUCUUGAUGUCUUUCAAGGCCAGACACUUGUAUCUAACCAUGCAUAUGAUACUCUGAAGGACAACCUCUUCAGGCUUCCUUUCUUUAUUGAACACCCUGUUAUUUAUUUCCAACCAGAUUUGAUAAACAGUGCAGCAGAAGCCAAGUUUCUUAAUAAUGGUAGAUAGAGAUUUACCCUUGCAAUCUCUAGCCACCAUACCCACCCAAUCAUUCCAGCUAUUACAAGUCCAGUUCACAUUGCAUUUCCCAAGGAUAGCAGCCCAAAUUUUAGAGGAAAAAGGGCAUUGAAAAAACAAAUGGUUAUGAUCUUCCCCAAUCUGCCCACACAGAGGGCAUGUGGGGGCAAUGUUAAUGCCAAAUAUAGUAAGCCUAUCAGCCGUAUUGAGUCUACCAAGGAUAGCCAUCCACACAAUAAAGCUAACUUUAAGUAUGGAAUGAGGGCCCCAGAGUAAUCCAACACAUUGAUUCUUAGGUCACUUGGAAAGCCAUUGCUGCCAGGUAGACCCAAUACUAAACUUACCAUCCUUAUUAGGAACCGAAAUAACUUUGUCAACCCUCAACAGGGAAGGUGUCAAAUCAGGGGGAGUGGUAGAGAUGAUCUCUUGUACCUCCUAAGAGGAAUCAUUGGGCCACUGCCACCCACUAUCAGUCACAAUAGACCUCACUUUAGAAUUGCUAUCAAGAGCAGCAUCAUAAAUGAGCCUAUCCCCAUACUUAGACCACAGCGAAUCUAAUGGAUGCCAAUUGUCAUACCAGAGAAAGGUAUUCUCACUAGAGCCUAUCAAACGUUUGAUCAGAGGGUAUAUGAGGCUCCUACGAGAACAGUUUCCUCCAAACCCAUGAGGGAUCACUAGGGACUCUGACUCUCCAAAAACUAUAGCCUCUUAAAAGGUAGGAUUUAACCCAUUGACACUACAUGGAUUGCUCACCCCCCGAAACAAGGAACCAAAUGUGUUUAGACACAGCAGUUUUAUUCCAAAUUUCCAUAGACUUAAACCCAAGACCCCCUCACCUCUAGGGGCACACAACCUGUCCCAAGAAACCUUAGCCCCAGUCUUCUUAAGUUCAAGCCCAGACCACAAAAAGGAUCUAUACACGGCCUCAACCUCCUUAAUCACCUUUUUGGGAAUAAUAAAGAGAGAAGACCAGUAAACUUGCAUAGAGAAGAGGACAGAGCUGAUCAAUUGAGCUCUACCAGCAUAGGACAAAACUUUAUUAGUCCAAGACUUAAUCCUAUUGGUUAUCCUAGUGAUCAAACUAGUACAAUCAGCAGUUCUCAGCCUAGUGGUAAUCAAAGGGACACCUAAAGAGUGUCCCUACUUAAAGAUACAAUUGAAAGAAUGUGCAAGGAUAUGGAUCCUAAUAUGGAACCUGAUAUGGAUUAUGAUAUUUAGUUUUUGUUUUUUUUAGGUUUCUAUAUGGACAUAUGUUUUUAAUGCAUUACAUAGUUAUGUUAUAUUUUGUUGUGUCUCUUCAAGUGAAUAUUCUGCUUUAUAUUUUAUAUUUUAUAUCAAUUUAUGCUUUUUAGUUACCAAAAUGGCCAAAGGGGAGAAAGAAUGGAUCAAACCAAGUUUUCUAGCGAAACAGAAGCGAACACAGUACGGAAUGGAAAGAUAUAAGACAAUCAAGAAGAAUAAAAAGAAAAUGGAUGCUCUACAAUUGAAGCGUUUAGUAGCUUCUUUGAUGGGUUCUACUAAGCCCAAUCGUGUUAAUUAGAAGGGAAAGAACAUUAGGGUUGAGGUAGAUGAUGAUGACUACAUACCGUCAGAUCAUGAAGAUGACACUGAUGAUGUUGAGUCCUUUGAAAGUGUUGACGAUGAGAAGUUGACAGAGCAGCUGAUUGAUUGCAACUCCUAUGACCAAUCAAAAGGAAUAGCUAGCUACAAGGACUAUAAUGCAUUCCCCAUCCAUAAUGAUCAACAUCAUGGAGUUUCUUAAGAAGCAAGGUUUCAAAUGACAAUUUAGAGGAGGAGGUAUCACAUGAACUCGUACAUCACCUUUUCGGUAAGUCUCAUUUGUUUUAUCUUUUUAUUUUUCUCAUGUUGGUCAGUAUAUACUAGUUAAAGUACAGCAAUUUGACUACUUAUUAACUAUGAUGUAACAAGUUUGAAGAUGUAUUUAAUGAAAAUAGAUUCAUUAUCAAAAUUCUUACUUAGCAUGACCCUAGUUAAAAUACACACUAACCAAAGUAGAGACAAGACUAUGUGUUUACUUUUUUGUGUAUUUUUGCUAGGCAGUGUUGGAGUUGCUCUAAGUUAGUGAUGUGAUUAAUAAUGAGUGUGUCUUUGAUUGAGUUUUUCACAGUAGAAGAAAUGAAGGAACAUUUAUUGAAGUCUCAGGCAGUGGGUUGGUCAAGUUUGUAUAUCACUUUAUGAUUGCUGCUGUUUUGUAUAUAUCAUUAGGAUGAUUUAGCAUAAUAAGGACUUUUAAUAGAUGGUGUCACACAUGAUGUAUAUGCAUACUGAUUGAAUUUAAAAUCUGAGAAGUGUAACAAUUUUUCAAUUGUGGAAAUAGUAUGGUUAAUGUAAAAUUUUAGUUUCCACGUUUGGCUCCAAAGUUUGUGAAACCGAAUCUGGGUGCAAAUGUGAUGCGAAAGAUAAAAGGAAUACUUACAUUUUAAUUGCAGAAAUCUAGUGCAUAAUGACUCAUUUGUACUUUCUUCAUUUGUCCUGCUUUCUAUAUGGUUGAAUGUUUUCUACAGUGUGUUAAGAAUUGGAAAAAUCAUAUCAAAUUAUAUCUCUCAAAUCCUUCUAUAGCUAUAGCAAUGUGCAAUUUGGAAGGCCAGAUGAAACUUGAAAGCAGCGAAAAUGGAAAAUACUUCGCUUAACAAAGCCACCAUAAUUAAUGUCUUCUUUUUCUAGCGAAAAAUGGAACAGUAAAGAGGAGAACAUGGCCUUCUCAGGAAUGUAACUGUCAUGAGCACGUGGCCUUUGGAAAGUGGUUUGUUAAGUUCACUGCUUUAUAAGGUUUUGUAUAUUACAUGUUUACCCCUAUGGGUAAAAUGCCAAAGUCAUCAAAUAGUAUGGUUUUUUGGUCAACAAAACUAACAUGACACAACUUCCAGAAAAUGUGGACACCAAGUUGAGGCUUCCCAUUAUAUAUUAGUAUAGAUUGAUCCAUUUGAAGGUUUUUCCCUAUACUCAACCUAGUGAAGCCACAUUUCAACCACUUUGUCCUGGCUAAAGAAGUCUUUUCUUGAGAUCAUGUCCUUUCUCACAACUUAUAUUCAUAUCUGUUGGUCUAUCUCUUGUUCUUAAGGCUUCAACUUCGCCCUCUUAGUGGUGCUGUCCUUGUUAUUUGACACAAACAUUCAAUUCGUGUUAGCCAACCAAUCAUAUAUUGUCUUCAUUGUGCUCAAUUGGACUAUAUAAGAAGCAAAGGAGGAAUAUUUAGCAAACUUUAUUUUUAGCUGGUGCUAGCUUGAGUUGCGUACCAAAGCACUCGUAUUUUCAUAUUCUUUUCAUAUUUUUUUAGUUUUUCUCCAUUUCUUUUUAGCUCAUCAAAAUUAUGACUAUCCUUGUUACAUGAUUCUAUGAAUUUUUAAUAAUACAGUCUUAUGUUGUAAUUCUUUCAGUUCGACUGAAAGUAGGCAAAUAUCCAGAUAUAGGAAACUAGUUCAAAGAAGAGUUUUUUGGAUUUUAAAUUAUAUGAUUUUGAAUCAGUAUUUCAAAUAUCUCUAGAAUUCUAAACCCUUUAAUCCAAACACACUCUUAGCUUAUUAGAGUGGUUUGUGACUGCAUACGCCCCAGGAAAAAGUUUUCUUUGGGCCUCAUAGAUGUGCUCUUAAAGCUGUCAUGGCUUCUGCUGCUUCCACUCAAAACUUAAUGUAUGCUGCUUGUGAAUUGCCUCUUGCUGACAAAAAGAAAAUAUUUGUGCAAAUCUGUAAGCCAUUUUACUUGUUCUUGCAGAUUGGAUUACUCUGUGCAUACGUUAUCAAAAAGUUGUACUUUGGCAGAUUGGUUUUUGAUGACAUUUGGAAGUAUACUUGCAAAUGAAGAUCAACUGUUGAAUUUUGUUUCCUGAACUAAUACUUAAUUGUAGUUGUAAAUCAAGAUUGAGUGUUGAUUUUUUGUGUGGAUUCCACGUUAGUUCAUUUUGCGAUUUGCUUUGAUGAUUUUUUUGUUAUACUUAAUGGUUUAUAUUAUUAAAGUUGUUUGAUGGAUAUAUUUUGAUUUAUAAUAUAAAUUGUUUACUGAA